rnacentral:rRNA from 1 species
UACGAAGGGGGCUAGCGUUGCUCGGAAUCACUGGGCGUAAAGGGUGCGUAGGCGGGUCUUUUAAGUCAGGGGUGAAAUCCUGGAGCUCAACUCCAGAACUGCCUUUGAUACUGAAGAUCUUGAGUUCGGGAGAGGUGAGUGGAACUGCGAGUGUAGAGGUGAAAUUCGUAGAUAUUGGGAAGAACACCGGUGGCGAAGGCGGCGACCUGGUCCGAUACUGACGCUGAGGCGCGAAAGCGUGGGGAGCAAACAGG